UACGUAGGGUGCGAGCGUUACUCGGAAUUACUGGGCGUAAAGCGUGCGCAGGCGGUUCGUGAAGUCUGGUGUGAAAGCCCCGGGCUCAACCUGGGAAUUGCAUUGGAAACUAGCGGGCUGGAGUGUGGCAGAGGGGGGUGGAAUUCCACGUGUAGCAGUGAAAUGCGUAGAGAUGUGGAGGAACACCGAUGGCGAAGGCAGCCCCCUGGGCUAACACUGACGCUCAUGCACGAAAGCGUGGGGAGCAAACAGG
rnacentral:rRNA from 1 species